CCAUGUCCCUCAGUGCCACAUCCACACGGUUCUUGAGCACCUCCAGGGACGGUGACUCCACCACCUCCCUGAGCAGCCUGUGCCAAUGCCUCAUCACUCUUUCUGAGAAGAAAUUGUUCCUAACAUGUAAAGGUUUUCUCCACAAAUAGUGUUUUGGUGCAAGUCAGAGAGAAGGAAGGCUCUAUGGUGAUGGUCUGGCUCUAGGAAUUUGCUUCAGACAGCUGUGAGUGGCUUAGUAAAAGGUAGGAGGGGGAAAAAGCAGCAGCCCCCAACCUCUGAAUAGGGGAAUAAUGCUGCAAGAGGGAAAAGACCGAGUGAAUGAACCUUCACACCCAAUCUCCUGUUUCUCCCAGAGACUGGAAACCUUUCUGAGGGAGCUGACACUUAACCUACUACCAAUGUCAGCUGUUCUGUGCUCUGUUUUUUAAGGAAAGCCAGGCUGCACUAGGAGGUGUCACCUGCAGUACUAGUGUGUGAGGCUUGGCUGUAAGGCCUGCAAGUUUUGCUCAUUUCUGUCCCAUAAGUGGUCACCCAAUAUGUACGGUAUAUUCUCUUUCGUGCCAGUGCGAGAGAUUUCGUCCUCUUUGAUAAACCAUCAUUCAGUCAUAGCAAGGAACUGUCAUCCUAAUGACCUGUGUUAAUUAAAAAUCUAAUAGCUCUUUCUCAGGAGAAAGUUAGUUAGUUCCAGUGUUUUCCUAAGGUAAUUAUAUUCAGCCAGGCUAGCACCCUCCCCUGUAGUUUCACUACUGCUCACUUUCUUUGAACUCCUGCAUGCUGCUGCACCACAUCAUUUUGUUGUGUUCCACUCCAUCAUUUCAAAAUUGGUAUAUUUUUAUUUGUUUUGGUAUAUUGCAUAUUUGUUUCAAAGCCUGGCAAAAGUUUCAGAGUCUCGAAUUCACUGCCUUGUAGCACCGCGUUGUAAUGGAGAAACUGUGACUCUUCAUCUCCCCUGUGUUCUAAAAUAGCAAGAGAUAAACAGGAAAAUGGGGAGACACAUUCUGCUUCAUAUUGUUUGGCUCUCCAGUCAGCUCAGCCUCUGAUAUUAAUAACUUCCUGUUUUGUUUUAAGCCUUCUGACAAGUGAGGAGCCUUCAUUUCUGCCUGAACUCCGGCACCCGAAUGGCCAGUGUGUUUCCAGGCUCUGAGCUAUGAAUUCCAGUUUUCUCCUUAUCUCUAGGCCAGAAUUUGAGAAUUGAAAGUCAAACUGAUGAAAAUUGUGUGCCCGAACCACCCAUGAGUUGCCAAAAUACAAAUGUCCUGGCUUUCAUGGCAGGUGUACACCUGCAGACCCCGUAAGUAGUCGUGGGACUUGAGAGGGCAGCAUCUGCAAAUCUGUCUGAUUUAGUGUAGGAUCAAAUGAGGAUCCUAACGUAAAACUCUGAACUCCUGUUCGUUUCUACGCAUGUGCUCAGAAAUGAGAAACAGAAAAGAGGAUCUGGAAAAAUGUGCAUUUGCCUAAUGUCGCUUGUGUACAAUGCUUGUAAAAUGCAGUGCACAUCAUUUGCAUCAUUUUUCACUUGCCUAAAUUUGUAAGAUGCUUUAUUUUCCAGGUUUCUGACAAAUUUUUCCUGUGAACUAUUUCCUGUGGAUAACACGCAGGAGAAGCAGAGUCCCCCAACAAGCCUGCUUCGUGUGUACUGCCUGUGACUGCUACGCUGUGUAGCCAGGAGCCAGCUCCUGACCGUGGUGUGCACUGGGGCAGCUUGAGCGCAGCAAUUCUAGGAGGGUUAAAAAUUAAACCAGCAACCAACAUCUAAAGCAGCACUGGAUUUAAAAGUCUGGCAAGGUCCAGCUGUGAGUUAAUUCAUUAGGUGCAGUUAAUAUUGCUAGGAGAGCUUGACAAAAGGAAGCAUGAAGCAACUGAAAAGAAACAUCCUUAAGGUGAAUGUCAAAGUUUUUGCAUCCAGCAAAGAAACAAAAAGCUGAAUACAGAAGAGAAAGCACUGGUUCCCAUUGAGUGGUUACAAAGGAAACAGUUGUACUACUACAGAGACCUGACUAGACAAUGAAUCUCAUGACUGGCUCAUAUCUCCUCCAGGACAAGAGAGAAACCCAGACCAGCUACAACGUCUGUUCAGACAUGCGGCACCCACUUUAUGACCAAGGAAGGAACUUCAUCAUCUGCACGUCUGGUGUGACCUACACAACGCAGCCAUGGGCUCCUGCUGCCUUGGGAGCAACCUCCCGAGGACAUGGUUCCAGCACACUCUCCUAGGCAAACGAUAGUUAAUUGUCAACACUAACAAGUGAGUUUCACAUUUCUAUGCCCAGUGUACAGACAGACAUCUUGGUCUCUGAAGUGUCUUGUACAGAGGGGGUGUGGAUCCUCAGCCACUGGCACUGCAGGCAGUGGGUCUGGUGGUGUGGGGCUCAGCUCCAGCUGUUGUCCCUCUGAGGCAGCGUCACCCUUCUCUCCCUCCUUUUGGAAAUGUGGAAUGCAAUGCCUACUGUUUGGGAUAAUCUUUGGUGGCACCACCUGUCCCUGCUGUAGCUGCUCCUUCCUACCCCUGGACCGCAGUGCAUUAUCUGUAUACUCAGCAGAGAACUCCCCCAGUUAGGACUUGUGUUUAUUUGGUGUUUUUUCUAAGCAGUAAGGAUGGGUCAACAGGCAGGAUUUAUUUUAGCUGGCAUUGCCAUUAAGGGCCUUUUUUAUGCAAUCAAGUGUCUCUUGUCGAGGUGCUGCUUCAGGAGAGUGUGGGAAACUCUCCUGGCACCACUGUUGCCAGUGGCACUGCUUUGCAGCAGCGGGAUCUGCAGGAGCAGGAGCAUCGUACCCCAGUGCUGGAGCUCGGCCAGGCUGCCUGCAGACAUCACACAUGGGGCAGUGGCUGCCCGUCCCCUCGGGAGCUGGGAGAUGGUGUCACCUGCCCACAGAGUACUCAGCACUGCUCGCAUUGGACACGGACAUUUUCAUAACUGGGAUGAAGAAACAGAUACGGUUUCCUGCUCUAGAGAGACUAUUUCUUCUGUGCCACUAGCCUGAGAUUGUUUGCUUGGCUUAGCCUGUGUUUUCACCAUAUGCAACAAGCCUUAACCACUUCAUUUGAGGCUGCUAUUCAUUUGGGGCCAAUAUGAAACAUUUCUGGCUUUUCUUUUUCAUUUUUUCUGGCCUAUACAUGUUGCUAAUCUAUCCCCUUGUCUACAUAUUCUUUCUUCUCUAACAUUUCAGGUCUCCUGGCUUGUAAUAUUUCAAAUCCUUGACUGCUUGCUGCUGCAGAUGGAGUAUUGGUUACCCUCCGUCAUCGGUCUGGCCGCGAGGACUUCCUGUGCUUGACAAGUUGAUUACUUCGUCAAGGUGAAUGUUCAGUCGAGUCUGUCUGGAGGACCUCUGUGUGUACGAUGCCAGCUGGUUUCUCAUCAGACACACUGUUUCACCAGACACAGAAUAAUAUUAGGAUAAAAACUGGGAUUUUGAAGGGCUUUUUUCCCUGCUUCCUUUCUGAGGUUGAUGUUGCUCCAGUUUAUCCCAAUAGGGUGUAGAUGGCUAACUCUCUAAAUGCAGCCAUCUUAUACAUGGAGAGCAAACCCAUCUGAUGAAAUGCCAUUGUCCUUCAUGUGUGGUUUUCCCUGGUCUGUAGGAAUCCCUAAAAGAGGUUAGAUGGUUUGCAAGCUGUAGCAUUAACAGUGCUUUCAGAUUGCCCAUUGUGUAUCAUCAAGGAAGCACAGUAAAACCCAAAUAAAUUAAAUGAAUUUCAUUGCAGUUCCUGAGGGAGAGCAGGAGAGAUUACUUGUGAGUUACAAGUCGGGUCAAGAGGGUUGGAUCUCCACAGAGAGGUUGCUGACACAGCUCAGGGGUAUCAUUGGGAAGGUAAGGAAGAGCAUCCAAACCUCUCUUAAUAGUCCUUUGUGGAUACAUUAUAGGAAGUGGCAUCCAGACAACAAUAGGUAUUAAGAAAUUGGGAAAUAACAGUAAGCAGCACAAAGUAAACAGCACAGGGAAAACAGCGUGUGCUUUCUGAGAAGGUAAGGAAACUGUGUCACAAUGCUGAGUGCUUUAGGAGAGAAAAUUCUCCUAACUGCCACAGCCAAACAUCACUUGGGACCAGGGUGUGAAUGACUCCUCUGUGGUACUGCUGGGAGAGUGUUGCAACUUCUUGGCAGGUUACAGAAAAUAGAAGGUUGGCCAGCAUCAUUAUCUGGUGGUACAGGAACAUUUGUUUCUCUAGCCACAUGUGGCUCUGUCUGACCAUCUUGGGUAUCCAAGCAGGCCAUUCAAAGGAAAACUCUGUAGGCUUGGUUUUCAAAGGAACCUAUUUCCCGUAAGUGUGAACUUUGUUUAUACAAGGAGAUAAAUCCUUGUUUACUCUUCUAGGAAUUCAUAUUUAUGGCAUAUUGUAGCAGAAAUAAUAAACAAAAGCAUGUUACAGUGGUGAGGUGAACCCAGGGAACAUGACAUCAACUGCCAAACCAGCAUCUGCAGCCAAACCAGCCCCUGGUGCAUCACGAGCACCAUCCCUGGCAGAUGUGGUCCUGGGGUUGCUCUCCUCAACAGAUCCCAUGUUGACAUCUCAGUGAGGAGAAGAAUCAUAGAAUCAUGGAAUAUCCUGAAUUGAAAGGGGCCCACAAGGACCAUCAACUUAACUCCUGGCUCCACACGGGAACACACGAAAUUCAAAUCCUACAUCUGCAAAUGUUGUCCAAACACUUCUCAAACUCCAGCAGCUUGAGGCCAUGCCCACUGCCCUGAGGAGCCUGUUCCAUGCCCACCGCCCUCCAGUGAAGAACCUUCUCCUAACACCCAGACUGACCCUCCUCUGGCACAGCUCCAUGCUGUUAAAGAACAAUGGAGCUGUUCCUGUGUCCUGCCAUAGCUGACAAGACAAGGAUGUGUUGCAGUCCCUGUAUAUUGAGCUAUUUCAGACCAUCUUUGUACAAAAGUGGAAGAAGAGCAAUACAUAGCCACUUUUCUUCCCUUGGAAAGGUAGAGGUGGGGGAGCAGGCUGCCAGACCUCCUGAGAAGCAGGGGCCUCCAUCAGGGCAUUUCCUAGCAGGAGGCAGGCAGAUCAUGCAUUCUCCUGUCAUUUAUUCCCCGACAAGUAUUUUCUUUGCUUCCUCAAGGCCCAGAGCCAGGAGGGCCAGCACUGGCAACACAUCCUGGUUCAUAGCCAGGGACGCAGCAGUGUCCUGCUGAGAGCAGUGGCCCAGGGCUGGGCACGCAGCAUCCAUCCCUCCCCUGGAGACUGGUUUUUGCUGAGGGAUGCAAGGUAACCUCAGCAUUGAAAAUAGCUGGGAUGGUGGCCAGCGAAGAUUUAUGGCAUCAUUAACAUCCCCAGUUUAUUUAUAGGUUUAAAAAAGUCUCCAACCUGUAAACAGAGCAGAGUUAUGCUGCGUAAUGCAGAGAAUCACAGGUUUGCCUCCUUCCCACUCCUCUUAUUUCAUCCUGGUUGUUGAGACUGUAAAACCCCUGGGGCAGGACUGGCUCAUUGCAAACUUACGUUAUAAACCUUCUCAAUGAGGGGGAUAUGCACUGUUGGUUUUUUUCCAUGCAUGCUAUAUUUGUCCGGUCUCCCUUCUCCAUUCAACCCUUUCUGUGCUUUGUCCUGUGGCCCCUGUUAUGGAAAAUUCUCUUUUUGAAGAAUUCCUGAGGCCCAGGUUGGGCAGUCAUCACAGGAGUUAGUGAUUUUCUGCCUUGGGCAUUAAGCUGUAAGCACUGUGUGAGGAGGAUUGAGAAUCUUGUAGCUGUGGAGAGCACCCUAGCUCACCCUAGCAUGGCCCCAGUGAAGUGUGCAGAUGUUAUUAAUGACCCUGGGGUCUUCCUAUGGGCACUCAGAGCCACUCAGUUCCCAGGUUCUUGAGGAACUUGCAGGACUCUCAGGAAAAGAAAAAGCACUCCGCGUGUAGGCCCCAGGAUGUGAGUUUUCAGCACAUGAGCUGCAGCCACACCACCUGGCCCAUCUCCAGGAGCUCAGGACAAGGUAAGGUAGGAAGGAGGCCUGUUGGCAGCUGGCAACAGGGGUCUGCUGUGUAACUGGGGGAGCUGCAGAGGUGUAUGGAUGGAGGGGGAAAGAAAAAUGCAAGAACGGACCCCUCCAGAAACACAGUGUGUCACCUUAUGGAGAUGUGUUUUGGAGGGCAACCACCGUUCAUUUUACUGUUUGUGAUGUGUUAAUCUGAGUUGUACUCCUGUGGCUGUCUAGGCCUUCUGUCUUCUAGGGGGUAAAAUAAAGAAUUGGCAUAGAACUGA